CUAAGUGGCGGACGGGUGAGUAAUGUAUAGUUAAUCUGCCCUUUAGAGGGGGAUAACAGUUGGAAACGACUGCUAAUACCCCAUACUCCUUUUAUCUUAAUGAUAAUUGGGAAACGUUUUUUCGCUAAAGGAUGAGACUAUAUGGUAUCAGGUAGUUGGUAGGGUAAGAGCCUACCAAGCCAAUGACGCCUAGCUGGUCUGAGAGGAUGAUCAGCCACACUGGAACCGAGACACGGUCCAG
rnacentral:rRNA from 1 species